rnacentral:rRNA from 1 species
GUGGAUUAGAUACCCGGGUAGUCCUAGCCGUAAACGAUGGAUACUAGGUGUUAGAGGUAUCGACCCCUCUAGUGCCGGAGCUAACGCAUUAAGUAUCCCGCCUGGGGAGUACGACCGCAAGGUUGAAACUCAAAGGAAUUGACGGGGGCCCGCACAAGCGGUGGAGCAUGUGGUUUAAUACGUCACUAACCGUAGAACCUUACCCAGGCUUGACAUCUGGGGAAUCUUGGUGAAAGCCAGGAGUGCCUUCGGGAGCCCCAAGACAGGUGUUGCACGGCUGUCGACAACU